AUUGAACGCUGGCGGCAGGCCUAACACAUGCAAGUCGAGCGGAGCGGCGGACGGGUGAGUAAUGCCUAGGAAUCUGCCUGGUAGUGGGGGAUAACGUCCGGAAAAGGGCGCUAAUACCGCAUACUAUCAGAUGAGCCUAGGUCGGAUUAGCUGGUUGGUGGGGUAAAGGCCUACCAAGGCGACGAGCCGUAACUGGACUGAGCGGAUGAUCAGUCACACGGGAACUGAGACACGGUCCAGACUCCGACGGGAGGCAGCAGUGGGGAAUAUAGGACAAUGGGCGAAAGCCUGAUCCAGCCAUGCCGCGUGUGUGAAGAAGGUCUUCGGAUUGUAAAGCACUUUAAGUUGGGAGGCGGUACCUAAAGAAUAAGCACCGGCUAACUUCGUGCCAGCAGCCGCGGUAAUAC
rnacentral:rRNA from 1 species